AAACAACUCAACUAUGUCUGCGAAAGUUUGGUUUUGGUGGUGCAUCCUAGCUUUCGCUGCUUUGUUUGGAGUUAAUUGCGGAGGACACGGUGGUGGUCAUCAUGUUGUUAUCAAAAUACCAGAGCACAUCCACACUGUGAAACACACUCACACCAUAUACAAAACGAUACACCACCAUAAAGAUAAAGGAGAUGACUACCAUAGCCACGGUGGCAAACCAUUCCAUUGGCACUGAAGAAAUUUCACAAUUAGUCUAAUUCAAUGAAAAGUAUUCCUAAUUAACCAGUAUAAUCUACCGAGUAUUAUUAUUACUUUAGUUCUAAUUGCAGUUUGAGUUAUUAAUUAACCAUCAAUACACACAUACAGAAGAAAUCGCAUGCGUAAUAAAUAUGAAAUGUACCGUGUAUUGGCGUAAACAACGUUCACAGUUUAGGCAAAAAAAAACUUUUAAUCAAAAUUAGGAUAAGUGAUUGCUUCGUACGAUUUACGAAUAGAAUCAAUUUUCUUUUUUGUUAAAAGUUUAAU